AAUGAACGCUGGCGGCAUGCCUAACACAUGCAAGUCGAACGAGACCUUCGGGUCUAGUGGCGCACGGGUGCGUAACGCGUGGGAAUCUGCCCUUGGGUUCGGAAUAACAGUGAGAAAUUACUGCUAAUACCGAAUGAUGACGUAAGUCCAAAGAUUUAUCGCCCAGGGAUGAGCCCGCGUAGGAUUAGCUAGUUGGUGAGGUAAAAGCUCACCAAGGCGACGAUCCUUAGCUGGUCUGAGAGGAUGAUCAGCCACACUGGGACUGAGACACGGCCCAGACUCCUACGGGAGGCAGCAGUGGGGAAUAUUGGACAAUGGGCGAAAGCCUGAUCCAGCAAUGCCGCGUGAGUGAUGAAGGCCUUAGGGUUGUAAAGCUCUUKYRCCCGGGAUGAUAAUGACAGUACC
rnacentral:rRNA from 1 species